CUCUGUGUGGAUACACUCUGGCGUUAUUUCCGCCUUUAUUGAAUUACUUUCUAAAACAGAUCAAAGUUUUAAGGAUUGAUUGAAAAGUGAUGUGGAUAGACGAGCCAGAUUUCUCUGCAGUUUAAUGCCAACAUAACGAUUGUAAACAUUUGUUUCCUAGUGCAGGAUAUCAAAAGUAAACAUUUAUUUAGAUUCAUUGCUGUGUUUGUGCGCUCGCGAGGUACCCCUCGUCUCGCCCUUCAAAGAAAGUUUCUAGAGUAUAGAUAAACUUCGACAUUUAGUAGCACGUAGAAACAACAGAAAUUGAGAAACAGUAAGAUUGAAUUAUAAUUGUCAAUAAACUAGCGUGUGCUCGCGACAACAUAAAAAACGCGAUCAAAACAUAUAAAAGUGAGUUUUAGCAACUCCUGGUUGGUACAAGUUUGUACGCGUUUAUUGGUUGUACAAAGAAAGAUUAUAGAUCUAGUCAUAUGGAACUACUAAGUUGAAAACUAAAUUAGACUGAUACUUGCAGUACAUAACACCAUCAGACUUAUUAGUUCUUUAUUGACAUUUUGUGUUGCGUUUUAAAGUUUUUUAAAUUCUUAAUGAAGACUUGACAGAAUUCAAAAGGAAUAAUUGAACAAAGAAAAUGUUUUGAGGAAUGAAAGACGUUGUGUAAGCAGCAAGAUAUAUCAGUUCAUAUAGAGGCGACAUUUUUUUAAAUUCAAUAACAAGUCAAGAAAACCUAGCAAUAGCUACAUAAGGAAUAAAUAAGUCUUUUUGCUUAGCAUUUCCAAUCCAGCGGGCGGUCUAUAGCUUUGGCUUAACAACUUCAUCUCUCCAAUAGAAGAGCUUGAGGGUUUUGUUUGGAGGCUGUAUUCCUGUGGACACAAGGUCUUACUACACUUGCAGCCCUCGGCCCAACAGAUGGGUAAGCGGCUUAGAUGACCAGGCCGGUAAUGAAACGUUAUCACGGAGAGAGGCGCCCCCUGUCUGGCUUAGUAAAGCCGGCAUUAGCCAGCAUGGUUAAACGUGACCAAAGAUCAGGAUGGUGUGGAGCCGGACAGGUCUUGCUGGUGCUCCUGGUUCUCUUCUCACAGACGGGUAGGUUCAAGAAGUGUUGUGUCAUGUCUCCGUGUCAUGUCUCCAUGU
rnacentral:sRNA from 1 species